GGUUCCGUAGUGAAAUGGAUAUCAUAGUAGAAUCCGAAUCUGCAGAUCCGAGUUCGAUUCUCGGCGGAACCACCA
rnacentral:tRNA from 1 species